rnacentral:rRNA from 1 species
GACAGAGGUCCCGAGCGUUAGGCGGAAUCACUGGGCUUAAAGCGUGUGUAGGCGGCGGCCUAAGUACCUUGUGAAAUCCCACGGCUCACCCGUGGAACUGCUCGGUAUACUGGGUCGCUUGAGCCACUUAGGGGCUACCGGAACAAAUGGUGGAGCGGUGAAAUGCGUAGAUAUCAGGAGGAACACCGGUGGCGAAGGCGGCUUUCUGGACAGACACCGACGCUGAGGCACGAAAGCUAGGGGAGCAAACAGG